rnacentral:rRNA from 1 species
CCCUUAGAUGUUCUGGGCCGCACGCGUGCUACACUGAGUGGAUCAGCGGGUCAGGUUGCGCGAAAGCGUUUCCUAAUCUUUAAAUCCGCUCGUGAUGGGGAUUGACGGUUGCAAUUUUCUGUCAUGAACGAGGAAUACCUUGUAAGCGCGGGUCAUCAUCCCGCGCUGAAUACGUCCCUGCCCUUUGUACACACCGCCCGUCGCUCCUACCGAUUGAAUGGCUUAGUGAGCCUUUGGGAUUGGCAGCCAACACCGGCAACGGUAGCUGGCCGCCGAAAACUUAUGCAAACUUGGUCAUUUAGAGGAAGUAAAAGUCGUAACA